UACGUAGGUGGCAAGCGUUGUCCGGAUUUAUUGGGUUUAAAGGGUGCGUAGGCGGCUUUGUAAGUCAGUGGUGAAAUAUGGCAGCUCAACUGUCAAGGUGCCAUUGAUACUGCAGAGCUUGAGUACAGAUGAGGUAGGCGGAAUUGACGGUGUAGCGGUGAAAUGCUUAGAUAUCGUCAAGAACACCUAUAGCGAAGGCAGCUUACUAGGCUGUAACUGACGCUGAGGCACGAAAAGUGUGGGGAUCAAAACAGG
rnacentral:rRNA from 1 species